rnacentral:rRNA from 1 species
UACGAAGGGGGCUAGCGUUGCUCGGAAUCACUGGGCGUAAAGCGCACGUAGGCGGAUCUUUAAGUCAGGGGUGAAAUCCUGGAGCUCAACUCCAGAACUGCCUUUGAUACUGGGGAUCUCGAGUCCGGGAGAGGUGAGUGGAACUCCGAGUGUAGAGGUGAAAUUCGUAGAUAUUCGGAAGAACACCAGUGGCGAAGGCGGCUCACUGGCCCGGUACUGACGCUGAGACGCGAAAGCGU